GCAGUUGUGGCCGAGUGGUUAAGGCGUCUGACUUGAAAUCAGAUUCCCUCUGGGAGCAUAGGUUCGAAUCCUGUCAGCUGCG
rnacentral:tRNA from 1 species